rnacentral:rRNA from 1 species
CCGACGCUGGCGGCAGGCUUAACACAUGCAAGUCGAGCGCCCUGCUUGCAGGGAGCGGCAGACGGGUGAGUAACGCGUGGGAACAUACCUUUCGGUUCGGAAUAGCCCCGGGAAACUGGGUGUAAUACCGAAUACGUCCUUAGGGAGAAAGAUUUAUCGCCGAGAGAUUGGCCCGCGUUAGAUUAGAUAGUUGGUGAGGUAACGGCUCACCAAGUCGACGAUCUAUAGCUGGUUUGAGAGGAUGAUCAGCCACACUGGGACUGAGACACGGCCCAGACUCCUACGGGAGGCAGCAGUGAGGAAUCUUGGACAAUGGGCGAAAGCCUGAUCCAGCCAUGCCGCGUGAAUGAUGAAGGCCUUAGGGUUGUAAAAUUCUUUCAGCAGGGAAGAUAAUGACGGUACCUGCAAAAGAAGCCCCGGCUAACUCCGUGCCAGCAGCCGCGGUAAUACGGAGGGGGCUAGCGUUGUUCGGAAUUACUGGGCGUAAAGCGCUCGUAGGCGGAUUGGUCAGUCAGAGGUGAAAGCCCAGGGCUCAACCUUGGAAUUGCCUUUGAUACUGCCAGUCUUGAGUUCAGGAGAGGUAAGCGGAAUUCCGAGUGUAGAGGUGAAAUUCGUAGAUAUUCGGAGGAACACCAGAGGCGAAGGCGGCUUACUGGACUGAUACUGACGCUGA